ensembl:lncRNA
AGCAUAAUAAGUGGUAUUUGCAUUGAAAAACAGCAUCUAAUUAUUCAUUGGACAGCUGGCUAUCAAUCACUGGUUGGUCUGCCUUCUUUAUAUGAUGAUAGGGUGAGCUUGCAAAUGGGUGGAGCUUUGUUACUAUUCAGUGCUCAGAGAGAGACAAACAGGCUUCAGCAUGGUGACGGGAGCGCACAGACGCUCUCUAAUCAAGAAGCAAUGACAAACAGCCAGAUGGAUAAAGCUACAGAUUCAUGGAAUGACUGAACACUGUGGGCUUGUGAGCAGAUGGGCCGUGGGCAGAUUGAUGGCCUAGCCGGGGUGGAACACCUGUUUGGCAGAGGAGCUCACGGCACAGUGCAUGCUGAAUGUGACCGCCACAAGAUGAAGGCGGCGGUGCCAGAGACAAGCACAUAUGUGCUCUAGAAUGGUUUCGUGGACCUUGAGCACAGGAAUGACACAGUGCAUAACCUUGGUCAAACAGGUUUUGAACCUGUCUCAGGUAACUCGGUAGGUGGAGAGAAUCAGUUAUAGAGCCAUAAAUGUCCAUGUCACUGAGGCCUGUUUGAGACUAGUCACUAGGAG